rnacentral:lncRNA from 1 species
GAGCCAUCAAGAACAAGGUACUGCCUCUACCCAGCGCCUCCUUAGGUGGCCCAGCCCCAGACCACUCCUGAUACAGUCCUCCCCCGUCCCAGGCCCAGUCAGUGCGCGAGGUGUUCGCCCGACAGCUGAUGCAGGUGCGCGGUGUGAGUGGGGAGAAGGCAGCGGCCAUAGUGGACCGGUACAGCACCCCUGCCAGGUAGGCCUGCAACAGAGCCCCUUAGGGGUCCUCUGCCUCUGCCCUACCUGCGUGGAAUUCAGCUCAACCAGUGCUUUGCGGAGGGGUCUGGCUCUUCGAGGGCUGGACAGACCCG